rnacentral:lncRNA from 1 species
CCAGAGUACCAUGGAUAGACUGAAUGAUCAUCCAAUGAUAGGUUUGAAAUGUAGAAGGUUCUAAUCAACCCUAAAUCAAACAUAUCAUGACAUAGGUGGAUUUCAUUAGUCCUUGAGUUCAAGACCUUAAAAUUCCAUCAAGAAUAAUCCAAAUAAAACAAAUGAAGUCACCAUUAAAUUCUAAAGGCAAAAAUAAUGGGGGUUGAUGUUCAACAUAUUUUCAAAAUAAUAAAAAUAAGAGGGUAAAAAAACUAAAAUCAAAAGGGAAAAUAAAAUAGGGAAA